rnacentral:rRNA from 1 species
CAGCCGCCGCGGUAACACCAGCCCCUCGAGUGGUGGGGACUAUUAUUUGGUCUAAAGCGUCCGUAGCUGGCUGUAUCCGUCCUCCGUUAAAUCCAGCGUCCUAAGCGUUGGACUGCGGAUGAUACCAUACAGCUAGAGGGUGGGAUAGGUGAGCGGUAUUUCUGGGGUAGGGGCGAAAUCCUUUGAUCCCAGGAGGACCACCAGUGGCGAAGGCUGCUCACUAGAACACGCCUGACGGUCAGGGACGGAAGCUGGGGCAGCGAACCGGAUUAGAUACCCGGGCAGUCCCAGCUGUAAACGAUGCUAGCUAGGUGUUGGGUCGGCCACGCGCCGCCCCAGUGCCGCAGGGAAGCCGUUAAGCUAGCCGCCUGGGGAGUACGGCCGCAAGGCUGAAACUUAAAGGAAUUGGCGGGGGAGCAC